CACAGGCUCAAGAGUGUGCACACACAGCCCUGAGGAAGGCCACGAUGGGACGGCAGAAAUUCAUAGCCUAGUAGAGGAUGAUCUGAGAAUUGGAGAGCCUCACAGCAGAAAAGUGCUGGGAUCACAGGUGCGAGUCCCCGUGGCCGGCCAUCUGUUCUCCUUGUCUGAUGGAAUGCUUACAGAGGCCUGUCAUGCAGUAUCCACAUGGACAGAGACCUGAGAUAUCACAAAGGUGCUUAUACCGCUGAGCUAAAUCCCCAGCCCCUGAGAAAAGCAUCUUUACUUGCACAUGUACGAAGCAGCCUUUAUAAUAUUGAAGAUGCUCCGAGGCAAAAAGAGAAAAGACACGUGCUCCAUACUUCAGUGCGAUGCAACCACAGUGAGAGAGCUGGAGGAGCUCUGAGAUGCUGGACAUGUCUGUCACAACCCCUUCACCUUUUUGCAAGGUAAGAGUUUUCAACUGUUUUCUUUUUUUUUUUUUUAAUUCUAUUUAAGGAGAAAAAGAAAAAAAGCAGAGAAAGGGUACAAGUUAUACAGAUUUACAGAAAAAAAUAAACAGUAGGAAAUCACUAGUUAAUGGAUUACAUAUUGUCAUCUUAGAAAUAAUUGUUCAAGUUACAAAAUUAAAGCUUAUAAAGUGGACAUUCCAACAGUGAGACUGCAAACAGUUCUGUUCAAUGAUCCAACAAAACUCAGUAAUAUCAUUAUCUAUCUUAUACACUUAAAUAUACAUGCAGUUAUAUCAUUUAGAACACUUUCUUUUCCUCUCUUUUGUACAAUGACAAUUACACAUUUUGGGUUUUGUUGCUCCAACAGUUCUUAUUACUUUUUUGGAACAGAGUAGAACCAAAUGUGACAUAACAGAACAGAGUCGGUCAAAUCAAAAGGGUGGACAUAAUAGAUAAUGUAAAAGCAUAAUACAAGGUGAUCAACAAUGGUUACCAUAAUGCCUCCCGCUAUCACAGCUGUUGCCUAAACUUUCGAACCUGGUACUAUCAAGCAAAACAGAAUAGAGAGACAUUAGUCAAAACAAGAUGG